rnacentral:tRNA from 1 species
GAACUUAUAAUUUAAUGGUAAAAUAUUCUUCUCAUAAAAGUUAAAAUGUGGGUUCGAAUCCUACUUGGUUCA